ACAGUCGAGGCCGGCCCAGGGACUGCAGAACCCGGCCCGGGGACUGCGGCGGCGGGCUCGAAGACUCCAGAACUCGGCCUAAGAGCCGCGCCAGUCGGCCCGGGGACUUCAUUAACCCAGCAAGCGGUUGUUGACUCCAACCCGCCGCCUCCCAGCCCAACCGCCCUCGUCCAAGUCGCAGUUCUGGCAGUCGAAGAAAUAGCAGCACCCUCAUGGGCCCAGCCCAUCCUCAAAUUUCUGGUGAGCAAAGAUUUGCCGACUGAUGAGACUUUAGCUCGGCAAGUACAACGCCAAGCGGCAGCCUACACCAUAGUCAACAGAGAGCUGGUCAGGCGCAGCGUCACUGGUGUCUACCAGCGCUGCGUAGAGCCAGAGCAAGGCCAAGCAAUUCUCAAAGACAUCCAUCAAGGCGAGUGCGGCCACCAUGCGGCUUCAAGAGCACUCGUCGCCAAAGCUUUCCGACACGGUUUCUUUUGGCCAACAGCCUUAGAAGAGGCCAAGGAAUUGGUCCGAAAAUGCAAAGGGUGCCAGAAGUUCCGCUCCAAGCCGCAUCAGCCGGCUUCUGCACUCAAGACCAUCCCCAUUGCCUGGCCUUUCACAGUUUGGGGUCUAGACAUGAUGGGACCAUUCAAGACGGCACGAGGUGGCUUAACUCACUUACUUGUCGCAGUGGACAAGUUCACCAAGUGGAUAGAAGCGAAGCCAAUCAAGAAACUGAACGGUCCGACUGCCGUGACUUUCAUCUCCGACAUCACAAUUCGGUACGGCAUACCACACAACAUCAUCACCGACAAUGGCACAAAUUUUGCCAAAGGCGCCUUGGCCCGUUUCUGUGCGACACUGGGCAUCCGACUGGACCUAGCAUCCGUCGCCCAUCCACAGUCAAACGGCCAGGUGGAGCGGGUAAAACAACCUCAUCCUAUCCGGUAUCAAGCCCCGACUGAUCGA
rnacentral:rRNA from 1 species